rnacentral:rRNA from 1 species
CCUANGGGAGGCAGCAGUGGGGAAUAUUGGACAAUGGGCGAAAGCCUGAUCCAGCAAUACCGCGUGUGUGAAGAAGGCCUUAGGGUUGUAAAGCACUUUCAAUUGGGAGGAAAACCUGCCGGUCAAUACCCGGUAGCUUGACAUUACCUUUAGAAGAAGCACCGGCUAACUCCGUGCCAGCAGCCGCGGUAAUACGGAGGGUGCGAGCGUUAAUCGGAAUUACUGGGCGUAAAGCGUGCGUAGGCGGUUCGUUAAGUCAGAUGUGAAAGCCCUGGGCUCAACCUGGGAACUGCAUUUGAAACUGGCGGACUAGAGUUUAGUAGAGGGGAGUGGAAUUUCAGGUGUAGCGGUGAAAUGCGUAGAUAUCUGAAGGAACACCAGUGGCGAAGGCGACUCCCUGGAUCAAGACUGACACUGAGGCUCGAAAGCGUGGGGAGCAAACAGGAUUAGAUACCCCGNUANUC